AGCAGGAACGUAGCUCCUGAUACAGUGCUACAUAUCAGAGCACCAAGUGACCACGCAUUCCAUGCCUAGCACAUCACAAUUGUUGCCCCCAACAUCUGCCGUCAGGGCAUUUGUUGGCAAUUUCUCCCCAGAGUCUCCGAGGUCUCUGCUGGAACCUGAAAUUAUCUAGAGCCACCUACACCCAGGGUUGGACAGACUGAAAACUGUCAUGAAGAUAUAGGCAAAGUCACUGGACAGAAGAGCUAUGCUAUUCUCACCAAAUGGACUCUCAGCGGUGCCUGUUUACAGUAGAGAAUCUGAUCACUUAACCAACAGAUUGAAUUAUCUGAAAACUCUUCUCACACACACAGUCGAGGCAAAUACAGCUGACAAACUCAUCCGGCAACUCUACCUAAUCUCCUGCGUAUGAAGACUGCAGGACUUGCCUGUGUGAAUGUAAAACAUACGCAGAUAAACCUGUGAUUCUUUUGCUAAUGCAAGGCAGCAGUAAGCAUAUAAACGUAGUUCUUAAAUAAUCUGCCCAAACAAAGAGAAAUUGGCCAUAAACUCUGUUAAGUAGAAAACAUCACCAAGAUCAAUAGAUGUAAAGUAUAAACUCAUGAUUUUGUCUCCUCAAGAAACUUUGCGUGUAAUGAAACAUCUGAGUAGUGAGCAAUGACCCUGCAAGGCACUAUAGUGAACUGGAAGAGAAGGAAAGAGAUUUUAUUUGGCAACUGGCUUGUUGCUUUGCCUCAUAGAAUCACCAGCAUUCCUGCUCAAAUUGAGAUAUCUCUCUGCAGUACAUAAUGAGUCACUCACCACCUUGUUGGGUAAUCUCCUAGAGGGAAGUUCAGACAUUUCGUUCAGACUGAGUUGAUGUAACCAUAUACUGGCAUACCUUAUCAUUGGGGAAAAUCAUCUCAGCAUCUUUCUAUUUGCAGAAAUUGAAGCUUUUAGAGGCCUUGCAAGGAAAAAGCUAAAAAGGUGCUAGAUCUUGCUACAUGAAAUUUGCCGUGUUCAGCAGCAGAAGAAGAUCUUAUGUCCUUUGAAGUAAUACGUCUGCAAUUUACGGAAGUAGAUUUGAGUUGCCUUGGCUCUGAAUGUUCUCAGCUGGAGAAUAAAGUACUUUCAUUUUGCACAGAACAUUUGUUUUCCACACACUCAGUUCUUCAGAAAGAAAAUCAGUUUUGUCUGAAAAUUGCCAUAAUCUCAUCAGAGGUUGUCGCCAUCUAUGCACACCCAUUGCUUGACACCCUAUCAAGUAGGCUUCUGGAGGACUGGAGAAGCAAGUUUCCCAGGCUUUUCAUGCCCCAGCCUCCACAGCUCUGCCAUAUGGACUGUCCUGAAACUGGGGCUAUCUGGUUUUGCUGCAACACCUGAAGUGAGAAUGGCAGAUGACAGGAAAAGCCAUGGUUUUUAUAGGAACUUCAAAAUAUUCUUGUUUGAAAAUCCACCCAUUUCAUGGGAUUCUUUAAACAAAAUAGUAUAGAAGUUCAGCUCCAGAUACACAGGAAAUAAGUGUUUGUCAUAGCGGAACUUUCUGAAUGUUAAAAAUCUUCCAGAGCAUAAUUCCUGUUCCUGAGCUGAACUUUCCAGAGGCAGUAGCUCUGAGCCAUGAGACAAAUAA